AGUGGAUAGCUGGGUCAAAUGGUAGUUCCAUUUCCAGUUUUCUGAGGAACCUCCAUACUGCUUUCCAUAACAGUUUCACCAAUUUGCAUUCCCACUAGCAAU
rnacentral:pre_miRNA from 1 species